rnacentral:misc_RNA from 1 species
UAAUAAGUGUUUUAUGGCACUUUUUAAAUCCAUAUCCACCUUGUGUGCAAUGUCAGUCGAUCUUCUUCAUGGAGAUCGACCAAACAUCAACCUUUAUUUUUUAACAACAUUCGUCUGAUAACAUAUUAUGAAUAUACUUAAUUCAAAAUA